rnacentral:rRNA from 1 species
AACGAACGCUGGCGGCAUGCCUAACACAUGCAAGUCGAACGAGACCUUCGGGUCUAGUGGCGCACGGGUGCGUAACGCGUGGGAACCUGCCCUUAGGUUCGGAAUAACUCCCCGAAAGGGGUGCUAAUACCGGAUAAUGUCUUCGGACCAAAGAUUUAUCGCCUUUGGAUGGGCCCGCGUUGGAUUAGCUAGUUGGUAGGGUAAAAGCCUACCAAGGCGACGAUCCAUAGCUGGUCUGAGAGGAUGAUCAGCCACACUGGGACUGAGACACGGCCCAGACUCCCACGGGAGGCAGCCGUGGGGAAUAUUGGACAAUUGGCGGAAGCCUGAUCCAGCAAUUCCGCGGGAGGGAUUAAGGCCUUAGGGUUGGAAAGCUCUUUUACCCGGGAUGAUAAUGACAGUACCCGGAGAAUAAGCUCCGGCUAACUCCGUG